rnacentral:rRNA from 1 species
AUUGAACGCUGGCGGCAGGCUUAACACAUGCAAGUCGAGCGAGCGGCGGACGGGUGAGUAAUGUCUGGGAAACUGCCUGAUGGAGGGGGAUAACUACUGGAAACGGUAGCUAAUACCGCAUACCAUCAGAUGUGCCCAGAUGGGAUUAGCUAGUAGGUGGGGUAAUGGCUCACCAAGGCGACGAUCCCUAACUGGUCUGAGAGGAUGACCAGCCACACUGGAACUAAGACACGGUCCAGCGUCCUAAGGGAGUCAGCGGUGGGGAAUAUUGCACCAUGUGAGCAAGCCUAAUGCAGCCAGGCCGCGUGUGGGAAGAAGGCAUUCGGGUUGUAAAACACUUUCAGCGAGGAGGCGUUACUCGCAGAAGAAGCACCGGCUAACUCCGUGCCAGCCGCCGCGGUAAUAC